rnacentral:rRNA from 1 species
UACAGAGGUCUCAAGCGUUGUUCGGAUUCAUUGGGCGUAAAGGGUGCGUAGGCGGCGCGGUAAGUCGGGUGUGAAAUCUUGGAGCUUAACUCCGAAACUGCAUUCGAUACUGCCGUGCUUGAGGACUGGAGAGGAGACGUGGAAUUUACGGUGUAGCGGUGAAAUGCGUAGAUAUCGUAAGGAAGACCAGUGGCGAAAGGCGGG